GCUCCAGUGGUGCAAUCGGUCAGGACACAGUACUUAUAAUGCUGGGGUUGUGAGUUCGAGUCUCACCUGGAGCA